AGGGUUUGAUCCUGGCUCAGAACGAACGCUGGCGGCGUGGCUAAGACAUGCAAGUCGAACGGACUCGUUAAUUUAUUAGCGAGUCAGUGGCGAAAGGGUGAGUAAUGAAUAGGUAACGUACCCCGAGCUCUGGGAUAGCCAUCCGAAAGGAUGGGUAAUACCGGAUAACCUCACGAGUCGAUGGGCUCGUGAGCAAAGAUUCAUCGGCGCGGGAGCGGCCUAUUUCCUAUCAGCUAGUUGGCGAGGUAACGGCCCACCAAGGCGAAGACGGGUAGCGGGACUGAGAGGUUGGCCCGCCACAUCGGAACUGAGACACUGUCCGGACCCCCACGGGGGGCUGCAGUAACGAAUCUUGGGCAAUGGGCGAAAGCCUGACCCAGCGACGCCGCGUGCGGGAGGAAGUCCUUCGGGAUGUAAACCGCUGUCAGGGGUAAGAAAGUCCACUUCGGUGGAUUGAUCCAACCCAGAGGAAGUCACGGCUAACUCUGUGCCAGCAGCCGCGGUAAGACAGAGGUGGCUAGCGUUGUUCGGUAUCACUGGGCGCGUGUGUAGGCGGGAGCGUAAGCAUUUUGUGAAAUCCCCCGGCUCAACCGGGGCAUUGCUUGAUGUACUGCGUUCCUUGAGGCAAGUAGGGGUGCGAGGAACUCUUGGUGGAGCGGUGGAAUGCGUAGAUAUCAAGAGAACGCCGAUGGUGAAGACAUCGCACUAGGCUUGUCCUGACGCUGAGACACGAAAGCGUGGGGAGCGAACGGGAUUAGAUACCCCGGUAGUCCACGCCGUAAACGAUGCCUACUAGAUUGUGGCGGUUCUGACGCCGGCACAGUCGAAGCCAAAGUGUUAAGUAGGCCGCCUGGGGAGUACGGUCGCAAGGCUAAAACUCAAAGGAAUUGACGGGGGCUCACACAAGCGGUGGAGCAUGUGGAUUAAUUCGAAUCAACGCGCAGAACCUUACCUGGGUUUGACAUGCUUGGAUGCCUUUCUGGAAACAGAGUAGGCUACCCUUCGGGGUGAAACUUGCACAGGUGCUGCAUGGCUGUCGUCAGCUCGUGUCGUGAGAUGUCGGGUUAAGUCCCUUAACGAGCGAAACCCUUACCGUUAGUUACCAGCGGGUCAUGCCGGGAACUCUAGCGGGACUGCCGGUGUUAAACCGGAGGAAGGCGGGGAUGACGUCAAGUCAUCAUGGCCUUUAUGCCCAGGGCCUCACACGUGCUACAAUGGUCGGUACAAAGCGACGCGAGACCGCAAGGUGGAGCAAAUCGCAAAAAACCGGCCCCAGUUCGGAUUGUAGGCUGGCAACUCGCCUGCAUGAAGUUGGAAUCGCUAGUAAUCGCGGAUCAGCUAUGCCGCGGUGAAUGUGUUCCUGAGCCUUGUACACGCCGCCCGUCAAGUGAUGGGAGUUGGAAGUACCCGAAGUCGGGUUGCUAACCUCGCAAGAGGAGGCGCCUGCCGACGGUAAGUCCGACGACUGGCACUAAGUCGUAACAAGGUA
rnacentral:rRNA from 1 species